CCGAGGAAAAGAAAUCAACCGAGAUUCCCCCAGUAGCGGCGAGCGAACGGGGAGCAGCCCAGAGCCUGAAUCAGUGUGUGUGUUAGUGGAAGCGUCUGGAAAGGCGCGCGAUACAGGGUGACAGCCCCGUACACAAAAAUGCACAUGCUGUGAGCUCGAUGAGUAGGGCGGGACACGUGGUAUCCUGUCUGAAUAUGGGGGGACCAUCCUCCAAGGCUAAAUACUCCUGACUGACCGAUAGUGAACCAGUACCGUGAGGGAAAGGCGAAAAGAACCCCGGCGAGGGGAGUGAAAAAGAACCUGAAACCGUGUACGUACAAGCAGUGGGAGCACGCUUAGGCGUGUGACUGCGUACCUUUUGUAUAAUGGGUCAGCGACUUAUAUUCUGUAGCAAGGUUAACCGAAUAGGGGAGCCGAAGGGAAACCGAGUCUUAACUGGGCGUUAAGUUGCAGGGUAUAGACCCGAAACCCGGUGAUCUAGCCAUGGGCAGGUUGAAGGUUGGGUAACACUAACUGGAGGACCGAACCGACUAAUGUUGAAAAAUUAGCGGAUGACUUGUGGCUGGGGGUGAAAGGCCAAUCAAACCGGGAGAUAGCUGGUUCUCCCCGAAAGCUAUUUAGGUAGCGCCUCGUGAAUUCAUCUCCGGGGGUAGAGCACUGUUUCGGCAAGGGGGUCAUCCCGA
rnacentral:rRNA from 1 species